CUGUACUGACGCUGAGCUCGAAAGUAUGGGUAGCAAACAGGAUUAGAUACCUGGUAGUCCAUACCGUAAACGAUGAAUGCUAAGUGUUGGAGGGUUUCCCCCUUCAGUGCUGCAGCUAACGCAUUAAGCAUUCCGCUGGGGAGUACGGCCGCAAGGCUGAAACUCAAAGGAAUUGACGGGGGCCCGCACAAGCGGUGGAGCAUGUGGUUUAAUUCGAAGCUACGCGAAGAACCUUACCAGGUCUUGACAUACUAUGCAAUCUAAGAGAUUAGACGUCCCUUCGGGGACAUGGAUACAGGUGGUGCAUGGUUGUCGUCAGCUCGUGUCGUGAGAUGUUGGGUUAAGUCCCGCAACGAGCGCAACCCUUAUUAUCAGUUGCCAGCAUUAAGUUGGGCACUCUGGUGAGACUGCCGGUGACAAACCGGAGGAAGGUGGGGAUGACGUCAAAUCAUCAUGCCCCUUAUGACCUGGGCUACACACGUGCUACAAUGGAUGGUACAACGAGUUGCGAACUCGCGAGAGUAAGCUAAUCUCUUAAAGCCAUUCUCAGUUCGGAUUGUAGGCUGCAACUCGCCUACAUGAAGUCGGAAUCGCUAGUAAUCGCGGAUCAGCAUGCCGCGGUGAAUACGUUCCCGGGCCUUGUACACACCGCCCGUCACACCAUGAGAGUUUGUAACACCCAAAGUCGGUGGGGUAACCUUUAGGAACCAGCCGCCUAAGGUGGGACAGAUGAUUAGGGUGAAGUCGUAACAAGGUAACCA
rnacentral:rRNA from 1 species